rnacentral:rRNA from 1 species
GUGGGGAAUUUUGGACAAUGGGCGCAAGCCUGAUCCAGCAAUGCCGCGUGCAGGAAGAAGGCCUUCGGGUUGUAAACUGCUUUUGUACGGAACGAAAAGGCUCUGGUUAAUACCUGGGGCUCAUGACGGUACCGUAAGAAUAAGCACCGGCUAACUACGUGCCAGCAGCCGCGGUAAUACGUAGGGUGCAAGCGUUAAUCGGAAUUACUGGGCGUAAAGCGUGCGCAGGCGGUUUUGUAAGACAGGCGUGAAAUCCCCGGGCUCAACCUGGGAAUGGCGCUUGUGACUGCGAGGCUGGAGUGCGGCAGAGGGGGAUGGAAUUCCGCGUGUAGCAGUGAAAUGCGUAGAUAUGCGGAGGAACACCGAUGGCGAAGGCAAUCCCCUGGGCCUGCACUGACGCUCAUGCACGAAAGCGUGGGGAGCAAACAGGAUCAGAAACCCGGGUAGUCC